GGGGCCGUAGGGUAGCCUGGUUGAUCCUCGUGGCUUCGGGAGUCACGGACCUGAGUUCAAAUCUCAGCGGCCCCA
rnacentral:tRNA from 1 species